GGCCCUUUAGUUAAAAGGUAUAACAGACGCUUGAUAAGCGUCAGUCGGAGGAUCGUUACCUCCCGGGGCUACCA
rnacentral:tRNA from 1 species